rnacentral:rRNA from 1 species
GUGAGCAGUUAUAUCAUCCUUAAACUCACACCUGUCAAGCCACUGAAGCUCAGCAGGUGUGAGCCUGACCAGUACCUUGAUGGGACACUUCCUGGGAAAAAUGAAGGUUGCUGCUGGAA